rnacentral:rRNA from 1 species
ACGGGAGGCAGCAGUGGGGAAUAUUGCACAAUGGGGGGAACCCUGAUGUAGCAACGCCACGUGUGGGAAGAAGCAUUUCGGUGUGUAAACCACUGUCGUGAGGGAAUAAUGCUUGGUCUCGGCCAAGUUGAAUGUACCUCGAAAGGAAGCACCGGCAAACUUCGUGCCAGCAGCCGCGGUAAUACGAGGGGGGCAAGCGUUGUUCGGAAUCACUGGGCGUAAAGGGAGCGUAGGCGGAGACGCAAGCAGUCUGUACAAUACCGGGGCCCAACCCCGGCCCUGCAGACUGGACUGUGUCUCUUGGAUAGUGCAGGGGCAGGCGGAAUUCCUGGUGUAGCGGUGGAAUGCGUAGAGAUCAGGAAGAACACCGAUGGCGAAGGCAGCCUGCUGAGGACUCAUCGACGCUGAGGCUCGAAAGUGCGGGUAGCAAACAGGAUUAGAUACCCUGGUA